AGAGUUUGAUCAUGGCUCAGGACGAACGCUGGCGGCGUGCUUAACACAUGCAAGUCGAACGGUAAGGCCCUUUCGGGGGUACACGAGUGGCGAACGGGUGAGUAACACGUGGGUGAUCUGCCCUGCACUUCGGGAUAAGCUUGGGAAACUGGGUCUAAUACCGGGUAGGACCAUUGUCUGCAUGGAUGGUGGUGGAAAGCUUUUGCGGUGUGGGAUGGGCCCGCGGCCUAUCAGCUUGUUGGUGGGGUGAUGGCCUACCAAGGCGACGACGGGUAGCCGGCCUGAGAGGGUGUCCGGCCACACUGGGACUGAGAUACGGCCCAGACUCCUACGGGAGGCAGCAGUGGGGAAUAUUGCACAAUGGGCGCAAGCCUGAUGCAGCGACGCCGCGUGGGGGAUGACGGCCUUCGGGUUGUAAACCUCUUUCAGCAUCGACGAAGCGCAAGUGACGGUAGAUGCAGAAGAAGCACCGGCCAACUACGUGCCAGCAGCCGCGGUAAUACGUAGGGUGCGAGCGUUGUCCGGAAUUACUGGGCGUAAAGAGCUCGUAGGUGGUUUGUCGCGUUGUUCGUGAAAACUCACAGCUUAACUGUGGGCGUGCGGGCGAUACGGGCAGACUGGAGUACUGCAGGGGAGACUGGAAUUCCUGGUGUAGCGGUGGAAUGCGCAGAUAUCAGGAGGAACACCGGUGGCGAAGGCGGGUCUCUGGGCAGUAACUGACGCUGAGGAGCGAAAGCGUGGGGAGCGAACAGGAUUAGAUACCCUAGUAGUCC
rnacentral:rRNA from 1 species